UACGUAGGGCGCAAGCGUUAUCCGGAAUUAUUGGGCGUAAAGAGCUCGUAGGCGGUGUGUCACGUCGGCCGUGAAAACCUGCAGCUUAACUGUGGGCGUGCGGUCGAUACGGGCAUCACUGGAGUUCGGCAGGGGAGACUGGAAUUCCUGGUGUAGCGGUGAAAUGCGCAGAUAUCAGGAGGAACACCGGUGGCGAAGGCGGCAUCCUGGACCGGUAUUGACGCUGGAGGCGACGGAAAGCCAGGGGAGCAAACGGG
rnacentral:rRNA from 1 species